UACGUAGGGGGCGAGCGUUAUCCGGAUUUACUGGGUGUAAAGGGAGCGUAGACGGCGAAGCAAGUCUGAAGUGAAAGCCCGUGGCUCAACCGCGGAACGGCUUUGGAAACUGUUUUGCUAGAGUGCUGGAGAGGCAAGUGGAAUUCCUAGUGUAGCGGUGAAAUGCGUAGAUAUUAGGAGGAACACCAGUGGCGAAGGCGGCUUGCUGGACAGUAACUGACGUUGAGGCUCGAAAGCGUGGGGAGCAA
rnacentral:rRNA from 1 species